GCGAGGUGGGAACCUUUGCUUACUCCGGACCCGGGCAGGGGCCCCUCUGAAGGGGGCCUGAAUGCAGCUGGGGUGUUUAUGCAGAAGCCUGCGUGUCAGCUCCCCAAAGAGAGGGUGGGAAGAGGAGCCUUCGGCCACGGGGAGGCUGCCUCUGUUGUUUAGAAUCCAAAAUGGUGAUGUCACUACACCCUGACACCGCGCCAGCGUGAGGAGGCGAGGUUGUCGUCUUGCUGGGACUCUUCGUUUCCCUCCCCGGCUUCUCCUUCUGGCCCCUUGGCCGAGGGGUGCUGGGGGGGGGGGUGGAGGGAAGGCGCCCACCCUGGGCGGAUCCACUUGAAAGACGGCAGAGGCGGGCGGAAGUCCAUGGAAGUUCCGUGCUUUGCUUGCCCCUGGAGAAGACCAGGAGCCCCUUCUGAGGGUGGCUGCAGCCCGCAGUGUCACCUGGGAGGUCAAAGUCCCUCACCCGCCUGGGUUUUGUCCCUUUGAGAGGCGGACAAGGUGACCGGGGCUGGUCUGGAUCCUUGGGGAGGCGUGGCUCCUGCUGGUGAGAGGCGGACAAGGUGACCGGGGCUGGUCUGGAUCCUUGGGGAGGCGUGGCUCCCGCUGGUGAGAGGCGGACAAGGUGACCGGGGCUGGUCUGGAUCCUUGGGGAGGCGUGGCUCCUGCUGGUGAGAGGCGGACAAGGUGACCGGGGCUGGUCUGGAUCCUUGGGGAGGGGUGGCUCCCGCUGGCCCUGUCUGGGUCCUGCUUCUCAGGUCGAGGCCAUCACCUUUGGCGCUCCCGUGUCACGGGGUGCUGGAGGAGCUGAGAGGGGGCUCCCCAGCGGCUGACAGUUUAGUCCUUGUCGGGAGGUUUUCUCUUCCUCCUCCUUCAUUGCUCCCCGCCUCCCCCUCUCUGGGACGUCGGCUCCGCCCCCGUGUUACGGAGCCAUCGCGCUUUGGGAGAAUUUGAAUGACGCGGAUUUGAAAUCGCGUGAUGGAAUCGUUGGUCUUCCAGCUGGGAAACAGAAGAGCUGCUGCUGCCUUGUGAGAUUCGCUGGAAGCCCCCUGAUUUCAAAGCUCUGGUCCAGCGGCCCCAAACUUUACCAUCCGAGCCCUGUGGCACCGCCCCCACCCCCUCCCCGGUCCAACUGGCCAAUAAGAAUACCUCUUCCAUUGAUUGACAUGUGGCUUUGGCAUGUGUGGCUGAGCUGGUGCAUCUCCAAAGUCGUGCCGGAUGACCCAAGCAUCCAAGGGUCAGGUCUUGGGAGCUUGGGGAGGCCAGGCUGUCCAUGACGGUCACGGAGAAGCCCAGGGCACUCUCGAACACACACCCUUGCACUCGCACACACAUGGCCUGCACGUGUGCUCACAAGCGUGCACGUUCCGUCUCACACGUGCCUAGUGCCUGGCUUCCUCCACGUCUGACUCCCCUCCUGGGACAAGCCUCCACGGCCUCCUGCCUCUGUGUCCCUAGCGCUGGUGACCAGCGGACACCGUGGGGCUGAAUCUUAGCUGCUCCUUGGAGGGCCUGCGCGUGAGGAGCUGGGUAAGCUGCUGGGGUGUGGAGCAGGCUCCUCUCCUGCAGGAGGAAAGCUGGCCUGUGGUCAGUCACUUGCCAGGGCACAGACCUGAAGCCUCUCGGCACCUUGGUGGUGCCAAGGCCGCAUGGACCUUCUGUUGUGUGGCUGGGAGCCCUGCGAUCCCAUGACCAGCGUUGUCUGUCCGGUUUCUGGAGUCUGCUCCCGUGGUCCAAGGUGGUGAGGGUGGGGACAGGGACGAGGAGCCUCUUUCUCAUCUGCUGGCUGGCCAUUGGUUCACUGACCCAUUUGUUUUUCAUUCUCUCAACCUGCCAGGUCCUGGGUUAUGCGGGAGGGUGCAGAAGGUUCUCUCUCAGCUUCUGAGCUGGACUGAACCUGAUGCUGCGUGUCAGGAAGAGUGCAGCUCCCCUAACCCCCCCUCCCCACAUUCAGGACGCUGCAGGGAGCUUAGCAGACCCUGUGAGAUGCCAGGGCUGGGUCGAGGCAGAAUGACUCCAGGCUGCUGCGCCCAAGGCGGGGCUCCCGGCCACCCUGCACACAGCCAGGCCAGGUUGCAAAGGGACUCGGGCCUCAGCUGGAGACAGCUGUGAAGUCCCUGGGGAGGACCCUUUGGAGACAGGGGUUGGGGAUGAGCUGCCUUCCCAGGCCAUAGUAGAGAGCUGGAGCUGGAUCAGAAAUGGGGCAGCCGGGACUCAAACCCCUGCCUAGACGGGAUGUCGGCACUGCAGGCAGCAGCUUUACCCAGUACACCACCGUGCUGGCCCAGGCCCCAUCUCUUAAAUGUUCCACACCAUCUCCCAGCAUCAUUGCCCUGAGGACCAAGCUGCCAGCACGUGACCCCUUGGGAGACACACUGGCAGCACAGCCAGAUGCUAGCAGGCGGCCUUGCUGUUACUCGGCCUAGAGGUGGCCCAGGUGUGCUGCAGCUUAGAAACUCCUGUUGAAAAAGAAAAUGAAAACUAAUUCAGUGGCUCAUAGGCCGUGGCGCGGGGGAUCUGUGUCCUGGCGCCCGUGGUCAGAGCUGGAGCGUUUGGCUUCUUGCCUUUGAACCCUGGGGAAUCCGGGGUGAACUUUCACUUGCACGUCUGCUGGGAGACCUGGUGUCUUAUAUGGAUUUGUGGCUCCUUGCCACAGGAAAAGCUGGGAUAUGCUGGUUUGGAGGGAAGCAGGAGACGCUGCGUAGGUCACACUCAUCCCUUAUCAGGUGGUCUGGUUUGAGUCCUGGCUCCGCUUCCAACGCAGCUUCCUAUUAACGCGCCUCCUGGGAAGGCAGCAGAUGAUGGCUCAAGUCCUUGGGUCCCUGCCGACCAUUUGGGGGACCUGGUUUGAGUUCCUGGCUUCACUUGGCUCAGCCCCGUCUGAUGCAGGCAUUUGAAGAGAGAACCAGUGGAUGGGAGAUCCAUCUCUUUCUGUCUCUCUGCCUUGCAAGUUAAAAUGAAAAUAAACGAAAUUUUCAAAAGCUGUUUAAGACUUUGAGAGGGGCCCUUGUUGCAGUCCCGUGCCUGAGGGGUUGUCUCAUGCCGGUUUGGUGCCUGGAGGUUGGGACAUGUUGGGAGGCCUUUGGCCCAGGUAAUGGAAAACUCUGCCCCAAACUCACUCAUCAAUAAAGAAAUAUAGCAUCUCAUGUAACAGGGUGUCCAGAGGACAAGGGUGGCCACAGGGCCAGCUUGGGUGCUGCUGUCAUUAACACGUCCCACAGCAGCCUCUGUGUGGUGCUGGCGUCACCCUCGGGUGGCAAGACCCUCGGGUUUCCAGGCCACAGCCAGUGCAGCAAAACCCAGAGGCAGCAGAGAACUCGGUGUGGGUAGAUAACAGGGAAACUGCGCCAGACUGUCCCGGUGUCAGUGCCGGCAUCCCACGGAGCAGCCCAGCACAAGGGCGCGGGCCCCCAGGCCGGUGCUGCCCCAGGGAAGGCCCACUGACCCUGCUUGUGUUUGCCUGGGCUGGCAGCUGGCCAGGAUGGGGCUUCUGUCGCUCAGGAGGGAGGGAUGAGCCCCAGUGCUGUUCCUCUUGGGCCUUUUAACCAGAAUUUUUUUUUUAAGAAGUGUUGUUUUGGUUUGCUUGUUUCAAUGUGUGAGACAGACAGGGAUGCAUGAGCUACCAUGUACUGGCCCGCUCCCCGAAUGCCAGAGGCCGGGCACUCCAUCCUGGUCUCCCACAUGGAGGCAGGAGCUCAGGCCUCCCAGGGUCCACACUGGCAGGAAGCUGGAGUCAGGAGCUGGGGCUGGGAAUCAAACCCAGGCACUCCGGUGCCGGAGGCAGGCGUUGUAACCGUUGGGCGGAAUGCCCGCCCCGGUCUGGAGCUCCUUGGUGGAGUCGUUACCGUGGCUCUCACGUCCUCCUGUGUUUUGUGUGCCUCGGCCAGCAGCCCUGGGUUGUGGAGCCCAGGCAGCGCGCAGCCCAUUACCGGGGGCUGUCGAAGGCCUGGAUGUGGCAGUCCUUGUUCCGGGGACUAUCACUUCUGUCUCUUUACUCCAGAUCCUCCGUGGGUGUGGCUCGCAGGCUGCUGGGAGGGCUGGUGGGGAUGUCCCUGUCACUUGUCUCCAGGCCACCUUUCAGUUAAACCCCCGCUCGGGCCUCCGGUGCCCUCCUACCUCCACGGCAGCCCCACACACUGCACCUGCCUCUGGCUCUGACAGCCGAUCGCUGAUGCUGCCCCAUCUCCUCCCAGAGGGAUGCAGGGGCAGGGACCUGCUCCCAUUUCCUUCCCCUCUUAGCCUAGCAACCUAGCUGGGUUGCUGAACCAAAGGGAAAUUUGAUUUUGCAGAUGAGACCCGGGUCACCAUUCCUGGUUCAAGGGCAGGCAGAGCCCUGGGGCAGGGGACCGGAUGGGGAGCAGUGGGCUGGGUUGAGCCCAGAGUGGCGGCCCCGUCCCUGGCUGGCAGUGUGGCUGCCUGGCCUCUCCCUCCCAGGCCGCCUCUGGGCCGCACUGGUAGCCCCGGCCCUCUGCCAGCUCGGAUCAGGUUUGCAGGAAGUGAGAGGACGUUGUUCAGGACUGCUAUGUGCCCAGGGCCGGCCCCUCUGCCCCUUCCUGGGGGAGAAACAACAGAGGCUCGCCUCCCACCCCUGUCCCCUCCAAGGCUGCUGUGGGCCCCAGCCCUGGGGUUGGCCGCCUGCACCCACCUCCACCCACCUCCGCUCACUGAGCACCCAUUGUGCCUCUGUCCAGCCCUUGCCAAAAACACGCAGCCUCUGACAGCCCCAGCACUUUGCCCACAGGGACUGGGACAGUGCGGUGGCCUUGGAGAAGUGCUGGCCCCGGAUCCUGCAUGACUUGGCCUUGGUGGGGGUCUCUUCCCCUCCCUAAAUGCCUCGUGCCCCCCUCCCCUAAAGAGCAGCUGGCUUCAGUGAGCCCCUGGCUUCCCUGGUGACACCUGACCGCCUCCAUGUGCUGACCCUGUGCUUCGAGGUUCACACCUGUCCUGGGAACUCGCUCCUCAUAGCUCUGGCACACAGGCGAGGCAGGUGAGGCACAGGGAAGCUAGGUAACUUACCUCAGGGCACACAGCUUUAUAUGUGUAAGGUUCCUUUAUUUGAAAGGCAGAGUUACAGAGAGAGAGGGAGAGACAGAGAUCUUCCAUCUGCUGGUUCACUCCGCAAAUGGCCCCAGUGGGUCUCCCAAGCAGGUGGCAGGAGUGACAGAGAUGGAGAAACACAGAAGAAGAGAGAGAGCUUUUCCAUCUACUGGUUCAUUUGCCAAAUGGCAGCAACAGCCAGGGCUGGGCCAGGCUGAAGCCAGGAGCCAGGAACUCCAUCCAGGUCUCUCACGUGGGUGGCAGGGGCCCAAGCACUUGAUCCAUCAUCUGUGCCUCCCAGGCUCAUUAGCAGGGAACCAGAUCAGAAGCGGAGGAGCUGUGAUGGGGGAUGUGCGUGACCCAAGCCCAGCUUAACCCUACUGCACUACAACACCCGCCCCAACACCACACAUCUCACAGUGAUGCAGGUGCAUCCUGAACCACGUGCCACCUGUACCCUUGUGCCCCGGGGCGGGAGCCUCUUUCAGGAGCGUCCUUCCUACCCCCCAGCCUCUCAAGCUCCAGAUCUCAGCCACCCUUUUUUUUUUUUUUUUAACAUUGAUUUAUGUAUUUGAAAGGCAGAGGUACAGAGAGAGAGAGAAAGAGAGAGAGAGAGAGAUCCUCCAUCUGCUGUUUCACUCCCCCAAAUGGCCAUAAUAGCUGGAGUUAGGUCUUUCUGAAGUCGGGCCCCCUCCUGGUCUCCAUGUGGUGUAGGGGCCCAAGCACUGGGGCCGUCUCCCAUUGCUGUCCCAGGCGCAUUAGCAGGGAGCUGGAUUGGAAGUGGAGCAGCUGGGACUCAGACUGGCAUCCAUGUGGGAUGCUGGCACCGCAGGCUUUGCUGGCUACGUCACAGCGCCGGCCCCUCAGCCAUCCUUGACGCUGCCCCUUGCAUGGCCUCUGCCGGCUGCCUGGCCCCAGCCCUGGGUCGCCCCCUUGUCCCUGGCCUACCCUGUGCACCCUCCAUGUAGUAGCCAGAGGCACCUCAUUAUGCUGCUUCCUCCUCAGACCCCCUUGUGGGUUAACUGCAGCAUAGAACAUGCAGUGGCUCCCUAAUGCCCAUGCACUAAGUGCAGACUCCCCAUGCUGACCGGCUGCUGCUCUCCUGCUCUUGCUGGGCUGAUGGCCUGCACAGCCUCUCUGCUGUAUCCCCCAGUUUCCAGUCAGGUACACUGAGGCCAGUCCUCAUCCCCCUUCCAGAGUUAGCCCUGGGAGAGCAGAGACAGGGUCUCCACGACUAAGUGUGGCUGACUCCUCCCUACAGUCCCUACGCCCACACUGGGGCUGGGCCCAGGGCCAUGGGCAGGGCAGCACCUUGACCUCCAGAGGUGUCAGAGCUCUGCCACUGCACCCCGACCCUGAUUACCCCCGGGAGGGCGCCUCCCAGCUCUCCGUGGCCAGCGGAAAUAAGGUGGGCCUCCAGCAGGGUGAGAGAGGUGGAAAAAGGCAAGUGGCCACCGUCUCAGGUUGUCCCCAAGAUCGCGUGACCACUGGGUGUGCAGUCACAGCCUCAAUUAGGUCACUGGGCUCCAGCCGGCAGGCUGCGGGCUUCAGGGUAAUGCAAGCCUGGGGAGCAACAUGGGGAGGGGUCUGCUCUCAGGGGGCCCAGGGCUCUGCGGCUAGAGCAGGCGGCGGCCCAGUGUGCAUUUCCUUCUCCUUUGGGACCACAGCCGAAAUCCCUCAUCCUCCUGGGGGGGCAUGAGCCCUUGGCCACCGCCCCGCCCCCCAGACCUGUGCUCCCAGGGUGAUUUCCUUCCCAGACUUCCGUGAUGUGGGAGUGGUUGGGGGCCCUGCUGGGACGACGUGGAAACCCCAUGGUGUUUGGCUGACCCCUGCCCUGGGGUCCACGAGGCCCCUGGAGAGUCCUGGAGAGCCAGGUUUACCCCAGUCCUAUCUCCUGGUCCCAGGACCCUCCCACCAGAAUUUUCUUUUUCUUUUUUUUUUUUUUAAGGCAGAGUGAUAGGGAGAGAGGUCUUCAUCUGUUGGUUGAUUCCCCAAACGCCUGCAACAGCCGGAGCUGGUCCGGUCCUUAGCCAGGAGCCAGGAACUCCCUCCGGGGCUCCCACGUGGGUGGCGGGGGCCCAAGCUGCCUCCCACGAUGCACUGGCAGGAAGCUGGAUCGGAAGCAGAGCAGCUGGGACGUGAUCCCAAGCACUCCGGUGUGGGCCGUGAGCCUCCCGGCUGCGCCACUUGCCGCCCCGCCUGUCAGGGCUUCUACUUCUCAGGGCAGCGCAGCGUCCAGGUCUCUAGGGCCACGUCCCCUUGCCAACACUCCCAGGCUCGUUAAGGUGGCCCGACGAGAAGAGCACUGUGCGCCUUGCUCCCGGCCUCACUGGCAGAGACUGCCCAGGGCAGGACAGCAUUGCCCGUGACCUCUGCACCUGGCCCAUCCUCUUCCCAUCCAUUCCGGUGAAUUGCCCGGAACUCUGCCUGCAUCUCCCUCACCAUUCCGUUCCCAGACCUCAUCCCCGGCCUCCUGCAUUUCCCAACAAGGGUCCCGCAUCUCCAGAGGCCAGGCGGAGACCCCAGGCUGAGGGCCUUUCUCUUCGUGAGAUGCUGGCAGAGCUGGGUGCAGAGCCAGGGCUUACCCUGUUCCCUGUUACUUCGGGCUAAUAUCUUGGGCUUCCCACAGAUCCACGGCUUCCGCAUCUGUAGGUUCAAAGCAGCCAUGGGUUGAAGAUAUUUGAAAACUAUCAUUUAAAAAUUUUUUUUAAAGAUUUAUUUAUUUACUUGAAAGACAUAGUUACAGACAGAGAGAGAGAGGUCUUCUCUCUACUGGUUCACUCCUCCAGUGGCUGCAACAGCUGGAGCUGAGCCGAUCCAAAGCCAGGAGCCAGGAGCUUCUUCUGGGUCUCCCACGUGGGUGCAGGGGCCCAGGCACUGGGGCAUCUUCUGCUUUCCCAGGCCGUCAGCAGGGAGCUGGAUUGGAAGUAGAGCAGCUGGGACCCGAACCAGUGCCCAAAUGGGAUCCCGGCACUGCAGGCGCAUGCUUGACCUACUGUGCCACAGCACUGGCCCCUUGAAAGCUCUCAGAGCUAACAGGGCUGGUGCUGUGGUGUAGUAGGUAAAGCUUCCACCUGCAGUGCCGGCAUCCCAUAUGGGCACCAGUUCGAGUCCCAGCUGUUCCACUUCCAAUCCAGCUCCCUGCUGUGGCCUGAGAAAGCAGUAGAAGAUGCCCCAAGUCCUUAGGUCUCUGCACCCACGUGGGAGACCUGGAGGAAGCUCCAGGCUCCUGGGUUUGGAUCAGCUCAGCUCUGGCCAUUGCGGCCACCUGGGGAGUGAACCAUCCAUGGAAGACCUCUUUCUUUCUCUGCCUCUGCCUCUGUAACUCCACCUUUCAAAUAAAUAAAUAAAUCUUUAAAAAAAAAAAAAAAACAGCUAACAGCGUUGGCAUCAGCUGGGCAGAGGAGGAACUGAAGGCCCAGAGAGUUCAAGGUUCAAGUAACUCACCCAGAGACGCACAGCACAGCCCACGGUGGUGCCUCCCCACAUAACAGGGUCUGCAAAGGCGGGGUUACGUGGGCAGGGCAGAGAACUGUAGGAUCUGUGGACGGCUACAGGCGUGUGCUCAGGGGCUGAGCGGAGAGGGAGAGCCUUACCCAAGCCCCUUGGGCACCAAGCUGCUUGGUCUGGGAGACCCGAGGCAGGGGUCCGAGCACAGCGGGGCGCGCCCAGCCUGGCUGCCCUCACUCACCUUCCUCGGGGGGGGGAGCCUGUGGCACCCGUGGGAGGAUUCGUGUGCAGCGGCCCCUCCCUGUUUGGGCUGCCAGGCAGCUGGUUUGGGAGCUUGAAGCUGGGGGAGGCUGGUGCAGUGAGUGGCCACCCUGUGUGGUCACCACUGCCCGCCCUCCUUCUGAGUCCACGUGACAGUCCCUGGCAGGGCAGUACACUCCCACUGCGAGCACUCGGGACAAAGCGUGUCUGUCUUGGAGGCCUGGGGAGCGGCCAUGGCUCUGCCUUCCCUCUGCUGAGCACACAGUGGGUGGCCCUCCAGCUCUGCCCUGCCUCUCACCUUUUUUAAAAUAUAGUUUUUAAAAACUUUUUUUAUUUGAAGAGAGAGAGCGAAAGAGAUCUUCUGUCCACUGGUUCGCUCCCCAAAAUGUCUGCAACAGCAAGGGCUGGGCCAGGCCAAAGCCGGGAGCCCAGAACGCAGUCUGGGUGAGCGGGAAGAACUUGAGCCAUCAUCUGCCACCUCCCAGGGUGUGCGUUAGCAGGAAGCUGGAGCAGAAGCAGAGGGGCUGACACUCAAACCAGGCUCUCCCAAGCAGUGAGCUAACUGCUGUGCCAAGCCCCGCCCCUCCCAGCUUUUUUUUUAUGAACUUCCACACCUGCACAGUCAGCUCUUGGGACCCUCGGGGGCUGGGUUCUGAGACCCCAACCCAUGCAUGCUCAGGUCCCUUAGUAAAAUGGCUUAGCAUUUGCAUGUCACCGGCAUAACCCUCCCAUACGCUUUAAAUCACUUCUAGAUUAUUGAAUACUUAGUACAAGGUAAAUGCUGUGCUAAUAGUUGUUAUACUGUGUUGUCUAGGAAAUAACGACAAGAACAAAGGAUGCAGUUUUCCCCCCAAAUAUCUUCAGUGAUUGGUUGAAUCCGCAGGUGCCGACUCUGUGAACACAGUGGGGCUGGCUGUAUGUGGGGGGCUGGCUAUACCGGGGCUGACGGGGAGGGGUGUUGCAGCCGCCACUGGUUCCUGUGGCCUGCCAGAGUGUUGGGCUCUUACCAGGAAAGGGAGUUAGCCGGACGUGCGCCCGGGAGCACGGGCUCCGCCCAGAGCAGAUGGAGCUGGAGUGGGGGGCUGCUCUGCAGCCACCCCCAGCCCCGCAGCGCCCCCUGUGGCUGCCGCCGUGGUACACGCGCAGCGAGAUGCGCUCAGCCCCUUCAGGGAGUUCCAGUGCUGCCUCCCUGCUGCCCGGCCACAUCUCCCCCAGACCGCCUUGAGCGGCCAGCCCUCCCUCCUUCUGGGACAUUUCUGCAACCCUGGACGGGUGGCCGUGGCCCCUCCCCGGCGCUGUCCCUCUGCUGCUCUCCAGCUAGUCCGUGUCUUUGUCAUCUGCCUGCCCCCUGGGACUGGUCUUUGUCCUUGCCUUCUGCUGGGGAGAGGCCCCAGGUAGCUGUGAGCCAGGUGGCGGAGGAGGGGAUGAGUGGAUCAAGUAUUUGGAGCAGAACAGAGGGCUAGGGGCUCACGGGGCAGGAAUGGCUGUGAGCCGUCUCCUGGGAAACCGAAGGCCUGGACUGCAGGUUUUGUCCCUGUCCUUGCUCUGAGCCUGCUUCCCCUAUGCACACAGGCCUUCCCCAGCCUGCAGCAAAGGGGAGAGGGAGGAGCGGGGGGUUGCCGCGAGGGAAGGCCUGCACAGAUGACGGGGAGCCAGGCACCCCCGAGAAGUGGGCAGGCAGGGAGGGUGACCGUGGGGAGUCCCUGGGACUCAUCUAGAGAGAGACCAUUGGAGACGGGCACGGGUGCCCCCGGGGGGGCUCCUACAGAGACCACCUGUUGCUGGGUGCAGCCUACACUGCUCUUCUCUGUCUUGAAACUGCUGGGCGUGCCCUUGGCUUUCGGCACAGCGGUUAAGGCAUAGCUUGGGACACCGCAUUCCCUAUUGGAGGGCCUGGGUUUGACUCUUGGUCCCGCUCCCCCUUCCAGCUUCCAGCUAAGGCACCUGGGAGGCAGCAGGCGAUGACCCGAGUACUUGGGUCCCUGCCACCCACAUGGGAGACCUGGAUUGAGCUUCAGGUGCCUGGCUCAGUCCUGACUGUUCCAGGCAUUUGAGGAAAUGGACGGAAUAUCUUUGUCUCUUUCUCUGUGUCUUUCACACACACGCACACACACACACACACACACUUUAAGAAUGUGCCUGGGAGUCACGGAGGAGCUUGCACAGAUGCAGGUUCUGAGUCAGCAGGGCCGGCCCAAGUCUCUGCAUUUCCAGCACCGUUGGGCGAUCGGCUGCUCUGGUCUGGGAGGCGCGCCGGGAGUGGCCAGCACCAGCUGUUUGAAUAGGCAGCCCCUGGUUUUCCUACAAGGCCCUUCCGUGGAAAGAGCAGGGUCCUGGUGGUCUCUGGGGUGUUGGUGCCCCUUCUCCCCAUCCCCCACCCCACCGCGGACUACUAGGCGGCUUCUGGGGCACCGCCCCAUCCUGAGAGCCCGGGGUGAGGGAGGCUGGACCCCAGGCAGACAAAGGCAGGCUGGCCUCUUUCUUCCUUAGUGCAGGACGGCUCCGGGGAGCUGAAAACCAAGAAAACCCAGGGGCCCUACGCAGCCGCAGCCAAGAGAAUGAGCGAUUCAUGGGCUGGGGAGGCCCCAAGCUGGCGACACUGGAAACCGGCCCUUGUCCCUUUCGGUGGGGUGGGGGCCGGGGAUCCCGGUGGUGCCCCUCACUCUGCCAUUUAGUGAUGGCCCCAACCAGGGACCUUUGCCAGGGGGCCCUAGGGCUGGCCAGAGAAGCCCUCAGUAAGUGCUGGGUGGAGAUCCAGCGCGAGGGGCCAGGGCGGGUCCCCCAGAGUGAGCUGGGGAUGGGCAGUUGUUCCGAGCGGGAGCCCUGGACGCCGUGUGCUUCCUCUUGUGCCUGCAGACAAGUCUGACUUUGUCCAAAGAGCCUCCUCCCUGCCCGCUGCCUGGCGCCAGCCCCGCAUGCGGGGUCACCUCCUCUGGGCCCCUGCCCAACUCUGCGAGGCACACAGGGCCCAGGCCGCCCCGCCCAGUACACAGGUGGGGUCGCGUCUGUGCUGGGUCUGAGCCCGCUCUGUGUCUGCAGGGCCACCCCGGGGGCCAGGGGGCCGGAGCCUCUCCCUGGCAGCGCCUGGGAGGACAGAAGGGACUUUACAUUGUAGGCUCCGAGCGAAUGGAAAGGGAGCAGAAAGCGCUCCAGUCCAGGAGGAAGCCCCGGGAAAGACACGGGCAGGGCCUUGGGAUUAUGGGAGGGUUUUCUUUACUAGGUUGGGUAGCUUUUCAUUUAAAAAAAAAAAAAAUCUGGUUUAAAUUUUCGUUAGAAGAAAAGAAAAGGAGCUAAGAUGUUGGCAGGGGCUCAGGGAAGCUGCGACAGGCGUUUGGAAGACGUGAAGGCGGGGAGAGAAGGAAGUAGUGUUUUGGUGAUUUGAAAUGUGGAGAAGGGGACUUAGGCCCAGCUUAGGGGGAGAAAGGAAGCCACAGCGAGUGGAGUGUCAGGGCCGGGGCCACCUCUGGGGUCUGUGCCCUGGUACCCGCCCCAGGCCCUAGGUCAGGAUAGCCAGGGCUGUGACCACAUCUGCCUCAGGGGAGGAGGCGAGGAUGUUUCCAGAAUGAUGGAAACACGUCUGCCUGCCCAGGCCUCCCCUAGAGGUCAGGUCUGCUGUGACGUCACCUGUGUGCAGAGGGCUGGGAGGGACCCUCGGCACGGUAAAGACGGUUGCGCCAGAGGCCAGCUUUGUGGCACAAGCAGGUAAAAAUCAUGUGGGCACCAUUUGUGUCCCGGCUGCUCUACUCCUGAUGCAGCUCCCUGCUAAUGGCCUGGAAAACAGCGGAAGAUGGCUCAAGUGCUUGGGCCCCUGCACCCACAUGGAGACCUGGAAGAAGCUCCUGGCUCCUGGCUUUGGCCUGGCCCAGCCGUGGCCAUUGCAUCCAUCUGGGGAGUGAACCAGCAGAUGGGAGAUCUCUCUCUUCCUCUCUCCCCUCCUCUUCUCUGAAACUCUGACUUUCAAAUACACAAAUAAAUCUUAAAAAAAAAAAAAAAAAGACAUUUGCCCCCAGCCCCUUCCAUAGGCCUCUGCUGGGUCCUUGUCCGGCCGUGGAAACAGCCAGGGGUGAGACGCGGGCUCUGAUGUUGUCCUAAAGCCUCGGGAAGGCUUUAUCUCGUUUCCUUUGCUGUGUCUCCUGAACACCUCCCUGCGCGGUUCCUGUGCUCGCCGCCGGGGCAGCCUUGGCCGUCUGGGGCUCAUCGGGAUUUCUCUCUUCCCUGAAGCCUGCUGCGCAGCGCGGCCCUGGGCCACAGCUGGGGGUUGGGGAAUCAGGCUGGGACCACCUGCUCCACCCCAGGGGGGCCUCCAGGGGCCCCCACCCGUCCUCGGAGGAGUGUGGAAGCCUUGAGUGAGGUCCGAGCUUGCCGGCAGGCUGGCAGUGCGGGCCCUCCCUGGGCAGCGUGAGUGCUGUGCCUCUGUCCGGGCACCGUGCUCCGAGGCCGAACUUGGAGUCCGUGGGUGCCGACGACCCGGAAUGAUGACUCCUGUCCUUUCUGCUGAGGGCUCCAGGUGUGAACCCCAAGAAACAUCCAUAGUGAUGCGUUUAUCGGGACGUUGAGGGUGCUCUGCUCCUCCCCUCCCCGUCCCCAUCCCGUAUCGCAGCACUAGUCGGAGUCCCAGCUGCUUUGUUCCUCCUCCCCCUCCCCCCUCCUCUCCU